rnacentral:tRNA from 1 species
GCUCCCUUCGUCUAGUGGUUAGGACUCCGGCCUCUCACGCCGGCAACAGGGGUUCGAAUCCCCUAGGGAGCG